rnacentral:misc_RNA from 1 species
GAUGAAGAACGUAGCGAAAUGCGACAAGUAAUGCGAAUUGCAGAAUUCAGUGAGUCAUCGAAUCUUUGAACGCACAUUGCGCCCUGUGGUAUUCCGCAGGGCAUGCCUGUUCGAGCGUCAUUUCAACCCUCAAGCUCUGCUUGGUGUUGGGCCCUGCCCGCUGCGGCCGGCCCUAAAGACAGUGGCGGUGCCGCCUGGCCCUGAGCGUAGUACAUCUCUCGCUCCAGUGCCCGGUGGUAGCCUGCCAGAACCCCAACUCUCGUGGUUGACCUCGGAUCAGGUAGGGAUACCCGCUGAACUUAAGCAUAUCAAUAAGCGGAGGA